GAGAUCUUCCCGGUGUUUCACGAUCUCUUCCAGCGCCGCAGCCAGCAGGAAAGGACCGGGUCAUGACCGCGACUGACCAGUUGCUGUUCGAGGGUGCCGACUGGAAUUUCCGGACGCUGCAGCGGAUUUGCGAUGCCUGCGAGCAGGUUGCGGUGCAAGAAUUGGGGCUCGACGUCUAUCCCAACCAGAUCGAGGUCAUCACCGCCGAGCAGAUGCUGGACGCCUAUUCAUCCGUCGGCAUGCCGCUGUUCUACAAGCAUUGGUCGUUCGGCAAGCAUUUUGCCUUUCAGGAGGCGUCCUACCGCAAGGGGCUGAUGGGUCUGGCCUACGAGAUCGUCAUCAACUCCUCGCCGU
rnacentral:misc_RNA from 1 species